GACAGAGGAUGCAAGCGUUAUCCGGAUUAAUUGGGCGUAAAGCGUUCGUAGGUGGUUUCUUAAGUCUUUUGUUAAAGGUCAAGGCUCAACUUUGAUUUGGCAAGAGAAACUCAGAGACUUGGGUACGGUAGAGACAGUGAGAACUCCCGGUGUAGCGGUGAAAUGCGUAGAGCUCGGGAAGAAUACCAAAAGCGAAGGCACGCUGUUGGGCCGUUUACUGACACUAAGGGACGAAAGCUUGGGGAGCGAAUGGG
rnacentral:rRNA from 1 species